UAAUGUCAAGGGCGAGUAUUUAAUCUCUGGCUUUGGAACACGCAAUUCACAGUACGAUUUUGUUUCAAACAGCAGAACAAUUAAACACCAACAAGUAAUUAAUUCACUUAAUUCCAAAAUGCUUUACAAAGCCAUUAUUUUUACAGUUGUCAUUACAUGUAUUGCUGCUCAUUCCUGCUGUCAUUCAGAUUCGUCGGGAUGUUGUGAUGGCGGUAGGAAAGAUGACUGCAAUGAUGAGUCAAGGAAUUGUUACUCCGUCCGAAAAUCAUGUUCGAGCGAAUGCGAUUGCGGACAUAAAAAUCAUGGUUGCUGUCAUGGUGACAAUAGGGUCUCCUAUCUCGAUGGACUAGGGAAUAUUGUGUUCGUCCAAACAUCGGAUUCGUCCGACAACUGCGGAAAGAAAAAGAGUACUUGCUGUCAUAACGGCAAUGACCAAUAUUAUAUCGAUUCACAUGGCCAUUUAGUCUAUGUCCGGAAACGGGAUUCAUGCGGCUGUAAUUCCAUAUACGGAGAUAGUUGCUGGUAUAAUUCGGAUAAUCCUUGGUCUUUCUACACACGAGGAAACUGUAAUUGCAGGGAGAAAUCCUCCUGUUAUAAUAGACCAACGUACAGAUGGUGGACUGAUGAAUGCUCGGGCAACGGUUGGUCGGGCAGAAGCAUAUGUUCCUUUUGCCGCAGCAAACUGAAUGGGGCCUCCUGCAACGAUUUCUGCUAUAAUUCACCAAGAAGAUGCACAUGCGGACGAAAAAGUGACUCUUGCGAUGAUCCCUGUUAUGACCGGUCAUCGAGAUGUUCCUCGGCCCCAAUAUAUUAUUGGUGCUAAACUGAAUAAUAAUUGAAAAUUCGAAAUCUCGUCACGUGCAGUGAUUCUUCUCAUAGGCUUCUGCAGUGCCGACAGCUAGUGGAUGUAUACAUUAGCAAGAUGACAGGACAGCUUGCACCAUUAGAUGAAGCUCUGGAGAAAGAUUAAUGAAUUCGGGAGAAUCAUAUGUACUUGUGUAACAUCACAUUUGAUAAUAUCAUGUAAAUAUCGACGUGUUAUGAUGGAAAAUAAAUACGUGCCUUGUCACGAGCUUAA